GACGAACGCUGGCGGCGUGCUUAACACAUGCAAGUCGAACGGAAAGGCCCUGCUUUUGUGGGGUGCUCGAGUGGCGAACGGGUGAGUAACACGUGAGUAACCUGCCCUUGACUUUGGGAUAACUUCAGGAAACUGGGGCUAAUACCGGAUAGGAGCUCCUGCUGCCUGGUGGGGGUUGGAAUGUUUCGGCGGUUGGGGAUGGACUCGCGGCUUAUCAGCUUGUUGGUGGGGUAGUGGCUUACCAAGGCUUUGACGGGUAGCCGGCCUGAGAGGGUGACCGGCCACAUUGGGACGGAGAUACGGCCCAGACUCCUACGGGAGGCAGCAGCGGGGAAUAUUGCACAAUGGGCGGAAGCCGGAUGCAGCAACGCCGCGUGCGGGAUGACGGCCUUCGGGUUGUAAACCGCUUUCGCCUGUGACGAAGCGUGAGUGACGGUAAUGGGUAAAGAAGCACCGGCUAACUACGUG
rnacentral:rRNA from 1 species